UUUCCGUAGGUGAACCUGCGGAAGGAUCAUUAAUGAGUUGUCAUGGGGUUCGAUGCUGGCAGCCAGUUUUUGGAUGCAUGUGCUUGCCCUAACAAUCAUCUUCUUCCAAACACCUGUGCACAUUUUUGAGGAAGUCUUGAGUUGGUUGCCGCUCUUGGGUGAUUUUCUCACAUUCCCUUAAAUCAUUAUACGCUAUUAACAAUGUUGAACGUGCUCUGUGCCGCAAGGCCAUUAAUAUAAUACAACUUUUAACAACGGAUCUCUUGGCUCUC
rnacentral:misc_RNA from 1 species